GACGUAGGGCGCGAGCGUUGUCCGGAUUUAUUGGGCGUAAAGAGCUCGUAGGCGGCUUGUUGCGUCGGCUGUGAAAUCCCGUGGCUUAACUGCGGGCUUGCAGCUGAUACGGGCGGGCUAGAGUUCGGUAGGGGAGACUGGAAUUCCUGGUGUAGCGGUGAAAUGCGCAGAUAUCAGGAGGAACACCGGUGGCGAAGGCAGGUCUCUGGGCCGAUACUGACGCUGAGGAGCGAAAGCGUGGGGAGCGAACAGG
rnacentral:rRNA from 1 species